rnacentral:ncRNA from 1 species
UUCACGGAGAGUUUGAUCCUGGCUCAGGACGAACGCUGGCGGCGUGCUUAACACAUGCAAGUCGAACGGUGAAGCCCUUCGGGGUGGAUCAG